GGCUCUGUGAUGGGUGCGGUAGAGCCCGUGGAUCAUGCCGGCAGGCGCACUUGUCCCAGGCAUCUUACUGCGGUGCUGCCGGCGGUAGCGGAGAAGGGCGGUGUAAGAACUGCAUGGAGAUCUGUGGAGCUUCAUGAAGUCAGCAAGAAAUGGAAAGCUGCAUUUCCUGGAAUGGGUCAGAACCCAACUUGUCUGUCCGGUAACUGGUUGUCCAUACAGGUAAGGGCAAUGUACACCUACCAGUGUUUACCCAUGACAUAGCGUGGCUCAACAUAGUGCUCCCAGAGCUUGUUACUGUGCUUUAGGGUACGUUGAAGGCUGCCUGUGCUUUUCCUCCUGAGUUCUCUUUGCCUCUCUGCCUCUUCCUUGGCUUUCCCUUGGAGGUUGUCCUUGCCCUCGCUUUGCCUUGACUUGGUCUGCAUUGCUUUUCCUUCCUUUGCUUUCGUUGAGUGUUUUCAUUGCCCUUGCCCUCGCCCGGGCCUUCCGUGCCGCGUUCUUCUUGUCCUUUAGUUUUCAUUCCCUGGAUGUUUUCUCUGCCCUUGCCCUUGCCUUUGCCUUGGUGGUCCCUUGGCUGUUCUGUUUGCCUAAGCCUGUGCCUGUUGGUUCUGCUUGCCUUUGCCUUGGCCUGCUUCUUUUCUUCACUGGGAUUGGCUGAGAGGCAGCGUUAAUGUUAAUCUUGACCUCAACCCUAAGCUUAAUGGGAGCUGUUGAGAUAAUUAUAUUAACCCACAAUGUAACUUGAAACCUAACCCUUAACCUGAUGUUAAAAAUGUCUCUAAUGUUCAAUGUAGCAAUAAAAACAAUGUCUGGAGUUCUCUAAGUAACCUU
rnacentral:lncRNA from 1 species